rnacentral:rRNA from 1 species
UACGUAGGGUGCGAGCGUUAAUCGGAAUUACUGGGCGUAAAGCGUGCGCAGGCGGUUCGCUAAGACCGAUGUGAAAUCCCCGGGCUUAACCUGGGAACUGCAUUGGUGACUGGCGGGCUAGAGUAUGGCAGAGGGGGGUAGAAUUCCACGUGUAGCAGUGAAAUGCGUAGAGAUGUGGAGGAAUACCGAUGGCGAAGGCAGCCCCCUGGGCCAAUACUGACGCUCAUGCACGAAAGCGUGGGGAGCAAACCGG